CCCCCUGAAUUUAAGCAUAUUAAUAAGGGGAGGAAGAGAAACUAACUAGGAUUCCCUUAGUAGCGGCGAGCGAAACGGGAUAAGCCCAGCACUAAGCCCAUCUAGCAGCAAUGCUUUAUGGGGAUGCAGUGUAUGGAGAGUUCAUUAGCUCAUUGCAAUCGGUUAGUAGAUUCAAGUCCAUCUUGAAUGGGGCCACUUAUCCCAUAGAGGGUGCCAGGCCCGUAGCAAUUACUUUCCGGCAGUUUGCGAACUCCUCCUAAGAGUCGUGUUGCUUGAUAGUGCAGCACAAAGUGGGUGGUAAACUCCAUCUAAGGCUAAAUAUAACCACGAGACCGAUAGAGAACAAGUACCGUGAGGGAAAGUUGAAAAGAACUCUGAAUAGAGAGUUAAAGAGUACGUGAAACCGUAUAGGGGUUAAG
rnacentral:rRNA from 1 species